GAUGAACGCUGGCGGCGUGCCUAAUACAUGCAAGUCGAGCGAACGGACGAGAAGCUUGCUUCUCUGAUGUUAGCGGCGGACGGGUGAGUAACACGUGGAUAACCUACCUAUAAGACUGGGAUAACUUCGGGAAACCGGAGCUAAUACCGGAUAAUAUUUUGAACCGCAUGAUUCAAAAGUGAAAGACGGUCUUGCUGUCACUUAUAGAUGGAUCCGCGCUGCAUUAGCUAGUUGGUAAGGUAACGGCUUACCAAGGCAACGAUGCAUAGCCGACCUGAGAGGGUGAUCGGCCACACUGGAGCUGAGACACGGUCCAGACUCCUACGGGAGGCAGCAGUAGGGAAUCUUCCGCAAUGGGCGAAAGCCUGACGGAGCAACGCCGCGUGAGUGAUGAAGGUCUUCGGAUCGUAAAACUCUGUUAUUAGGGAAGAACAUAUGUGUAAGUAACUGUGCACAUCUUGACGGUACCUAAUCAGAAAGCCACGGCUAACUACGUG
rnacentral:rRNA from 1 species